rnacentral:lncRNA from 1 species
CUGCGCGUCACGCCGUGCUUUUGUCGCUCGACAAGCCAACCAUCGUGGACUAGUCCCAUCGCCCACUCCAGCGCGAUGACGCUUGUCUUGAUGACGUUUAGCACCUGUCUGUCAUCCAGCAGCUGAUCGUGUCUACACUUCUGUUCCUGCCUCACUGCUAUUGUGUCCUGGUGAAUGAGGAUGCCUGCAAUCCCCGCCCUGCAGAACGUCCACUGCACUCCGCAUCCUUUGGUGCCAGGCACACGCGACGGAUUUUCCUGCACCCGGUCGUGUCUCGCAAAGAUGACGUUCAGCACCUGUCUGUCGUCCAGCAGCUGAUCGUGUCUUCACUUCGGUUCCUGCCUCCCUGCUAUUGGUGUCCUGCUGAAUGAAGACGCCUGCAAUCUCCGUGCUGCAGUACGUCGACUGCACUCUGCAACCCUUGUCUUGACAUCUACCCCCCAUCAAGGUCUGUACCACCAGCGUAGUAAGCAAUCACACCAAGUGCAGACCGUAGGGAGGCGGGCGUUGCUCUCGCCACUCAUCACAUUGCUGCUCCCGAAGACGUCGUGC